rnacentral:rRNA from 1 species
UUUAAACUUCUGCACCUAAAUUUAAUCUUAAUCCAACAUCGAGGUCGCAAUCUUUUUUAUCGAUAUGAACUCUCCAAAAAAAUUACGCUGUUAUCCCUAAAGUAACUUAUUCUUUUAAUCUAUAAUAUAGGAUCAAAAAUUCAUUAAUUAAUGAUAAAAAUUAAUAAAAGUUAAUUAAAUUUUACUAUCACCCCAAUAAAAUAUUUUAUUAUAUAUUCAUAAAAUUCAAUAACUAUAAUUACUAUAUAUAAUUUAUAUAAAGAUUUAUAGGGUCUUCUCGUCUUUUAAAAUUAUUUUAGCUUUUUAACUAAAAAAUAAAAUUCUAUUAUAAAUUUAUAUAAAACAGUUAAUGUUUCGUCCAACCAUUCAUUCCAGCCUUCAAUUAAAAGACUAAUGAUUAUGCUACCUUUGCACAGUCAAAAUACUGCGGCCAUUUAAAAAUCAGUGGGCAGGUUAGACUUUAAAUUAAUCUCAAAAAGACAUGUUUUU